rnacentral:rRNA from 1 species
CAGUCGCCGCGGUAACACGUAGGGCGCAAGCGUUAAUCGGAAUUACUGGGCGUAAAGCGUGCGCAGGCGGUUUUGUAAGACAGAGGUGAAAUCCCCGGGCUCAACCUGAGAACUGCCUUUGCGACUGCAAGGCUGGAGUGCGGCAGAGGGGGAUGGAAUUCCGCGUGUAGCAGUGAAAUGCGUAGAUAUGCGGAGGAACACCGAUGGCGAAGGCAAUCCCCUGGGCCUGCACUGACGCUCAUGCACGAAAGCGUGGGGAGCAAACAGGAUUAGAUACCCCUGUAGUCCCUGUCUCUUAUAC